UGAAGCUUAGAAGUUCUUGAUGUUCUGUAAAUAGUAGUAGCCAUGUUUGAACACGAUGUUCAAACAAGCCGCCGCUGAGACAUGGACGUCGAAUCGGCGGCGGUGGCGUAUAAAACUAAAAUGCAAAUCAGAACAUUUAGAACUACUUAGCUUC
rnacentral:ncRNA from 1 species